GCGAGAGUUUGUGUCAUUUCUCGUCGAAUUUUCUCGCAUCAUCCCAGCCAUCAAAAAUGUUUCGCACUAGAGCAAGAGCUGCGCGUUGCGCAACAUUCGUCCCCACUGGAACCGAUCUGAAGGAGCUCCACCAUCCACAGUGCCAGCAGCCUUCGUUAAACGCACAUUCCAGAAAGGAUUGUUUAUGGGCCUCUGCCUCGCAUCGCCGGCUACCGCAGCACGAAGUCACAUAGGUUCGGUUUACGAGAAACAAAGCAGAAGCAGAUUGGACACGAGAGGAAAUCUGAUCAGAAUCAUAAUCACAGUUUGCUAUUUGUGCUCCGCUCUUGUCGAGCAAAACCUGUAUGUGUGUACAAUCAUUUAUCACUGUCAGUGUUGCUGCUAACGUUUUCUGAGCCCAUUUGAAGUUUAGUAAAACAACCCCAUAACGCAUAGGAAUAGAAUAUGCCCUGUUGAAAACAAUAUACUAUACGAAAUUAAA